GAUUAAUAUUUUUAUGCAAUAAUCAAUUUUUAUUGAUUAAAUGAUUUUGAGAUAUUAAUUUUGUAUGAGGAAAUAUUUUUAGAAGUUGAUUAAUACUAAUCAUUGAAAAAAAUUAAGAUUGCCCAAAAUCGACACAGGUGGGUAGGUAAAGAAUACCAAGGGCGCGAGACAACUCUCUCUAAAGAACUCAGUAAAAUAACCCCAUAACUUCGGAAGAAGGGGUGCCUCCUCACAAAGGGGGUCGCAGUGACCAGGCAUGGGCGACUGUUUACCGAAAACACAGGUCUCUACAAAGUCGUAAGACCAUGUAUAAGGGCUGACGCCUGUCCAUUGUCGGAAGGUCAAGGAAAUUGUGACUUAAUGAUAGGAGAGCCGGUGACCGAAGCCCCGAGGAACGGCGGUCAUAACUAUAAUGGUUCUAAGAUAGUGAAAUUCCUUGUCGGGUAAGUUCUGGCCCGCACGAAAGGCAUAACGAUCUGGCCUGUCUCGGAAAGAGGCUCAGUGAAAUAUACAUGUUUCUGAAGAUGCAGACCACCCGCACCUGGACAGAAAGACACUAUGAAGUUCCCUAGGAUUGGCUUUGGGCUUUUCCUGCGUAGCUUAGGUGGAAGGCGAAGAAGGCCUCCUUCCAGGGGCCCGAGCCAUUAGUGAGAUACCACUCUAGAAGAGCUAGAAUUCAAACCUUCUGUUAGGACCUAUGGGUCAAGAGACAGUCUCAAGUAGACAGUUUCUAUGGGACGUAGGCCCCCAAAAGGUAACAGAGGCGUGCAAAGGUUUCCUCGGGCCAGACAAAGAUUGGCCCUCGAGUGCAAAGGCAGAAGGGAGCUUGACUGCAAGCCCCACCCAUCGAGCAGGGACGAAAGUCAACCUUAGUGAUCUGACGGUCCCGAGUGGAAGGGCUGUCGCUCAACGGAUAAAAGUUACUCUAGGGAUAACAGGGUGAUCUUCCCCAAAAGCUCACAUUGACAGGAAGGUUUAGCACCUCGACGUCGGCUCUUCGCCGCCUAAGUUGUGGUAUGUUCCAAGGGUUGGUUUGUUCGCCCAUUAAAGCAGUAUGUGAGCUGGGUUUAGAACAUCGUGAGACAGUUCGAUCCAUAUCCGGUGUGGGUGUUAGAGCAUUGAGAGGACCUUUCCCUAGUACGAGAGGAAUAUAAUCUUAAAUUUGCAUUCCAUGACACAAAAAAAAAACUAAUUUUUGUGUAAAUUGUCAUAACAAUUCUAUUUACUCAAUUAUUAUUUGG
rnacentral:ncRNA from 1 species